rnacentral:rRNA from 1 species
CGCUAAGGCGUUGAAGCAGUGUAUGUCAGACUUCCAAGAAAAGCUCGCAAUGUCACAAAUAAGAAAUGCCUGUACCAUAACCGACACAGGUGGGUAGGUAGAGUAUACUAAGGGGCGCGAGAUAACUCUCUCUAAGGAACUCGGCAAAAUGACUCCGUAACUUCGGGAGAAGGAGUGCCUUAUUUAUAAGGUUGCAAUAACAAGAUCCAAGCAACUGUUUAUCAAAAACACAGGUCUCCGCUAAGUCGUAAGACGAUGUAUGGGGGCUGACGCCUGCCCAGUGCCAGAAGGUUAAAGAAGUUGGUUAGUGUAUGCGAAGCUGAUGACUGAAGCCCUGGUGAACGGCGGCCGUAACGAUAACGGUCCUAAGGUAGCGAAAUUCCUUGUCGGGUAAGUUCCGACCCGCACGAAAGGCGUAAUGAUUUGGAUACUGUCUCGGAGAGAGGCUCGGUGAAAUAGACUUGUCUGUGAAGAUGCGGACUACCUGCACCAGGACAGAAAGACCCUAUGAAGCUUUACUGUAACUUGAAAUUGGAAUUGGACUUUGCUUGCGCAGUAUAGGUGGGAAGCGUUGAAAAUAUUCUUGCGGGAGUAUUGGAGCUAUCAGUGAGAUACCACUCUUGUAAUGUUAGAUUUCUAACUUUGAACCAUAAUCUGGUCAAAGAACAGUUUCAGGUGGGCAGUUUGACUGGGGCGGUCGCCUCCCAAAUGGUAACGGAGGCGUACAAAGGUUUCCUCUGAACGGAUAGAAAUCGUAUCUAGAGUGUAAAGGCAUAAGGAAGCUUGACUGUGAGACCUACAAGUCGAGCAGGGACGAAAGUCGGUCUUAGUGAUCUGACGGUACUGAGUGGAAAGGCCGUCACUCAACGGAUAAAAGUUACUCUAGGAUAACAGGCUGAUCUCCCCCAAGAGUUCACAUCGACGGGGAGGUUUGGCACCUCGAUGUCGGCUCAUCGCAUCCUGGGGCGGUAGUACGUCCCAAGGGUUGGGCUGUUCGCCCAUGAAAGCGGUACGCGAGCUGGGUUCAGAACGUCGUGAGACAGUUCGGUCCAUAUCCGGUGUAGGCGCUAGAAUAUUGAGAGGAGCCUUCUUUAGUACGAGAGGACCGAGAAGGACACACCGCUGGUGUACCAGUUAUCGUGCCAACGGUAAACGCUGGGUAGCUAUGUGUGGAGUGGAUAACCGCUGAAAGCAUCUAAGUGGGAAGCCCACCUCGAGAUGAG